CAGGUAGGCCCCAAGCACUUCUUAUUGGCUAAUGUGGAGGGAACCUGCACAUCCAUUGGCUGAAAGCUCCGUCUAUUUGAGGCUGGCUGAGAGCGGUCCUUUCUUCUGUGUUGCCUGGAAACGGACUGUCUGCCUAGUAACAUCUGAUCGCGUUUCCCAUUGGCCGCCAUUUCCGGAAGCCCGCCCUCCCAUUUCCGGAAGCCUGGCGCAAGGUUGGUCUGCAGGUGGCCUCCAGGUGCAAAGUGGGAAGUGUGAGUCCUCUGUCUUGGGCUAUUCGGCCACGUGCCUGCUGGACAUGGGACGCUGGAGGGUCAGCAGCGUGGAGCCCUGGCCUUUUGCGUCCACGGGUGGGAAAUCGGCCAUUGCCACGGCGGGAACUGGGACUCAGGCUGCCUCCCAGCCGUUUCUCAUCAGUCCACCGGACUCGUGGGCGCUCGCACUGGCGCUGAUGUAGUUUCCUGACCUCUGACCCGUAUUGUCUCCAGAUUAAAGGUACGACAUUUGGAGGCCCCAGCGAGAAACGCCACCGGGCGAGAGCCGGGCCCGCUGUGUGCUCCCCCGGAAGGACAGCCAGCUUGUAGGGGGGAGCGCCACCUGAAAAAAAAAUUUCCAGGUCCCCAAAGGAUGACCGUCUUCCGGAGGACAGCGGAUCGACUACCAUGUGGGUGCCCACAAAAAUUCCACCUCUGAGUCCUCAACUGCUGACUCGGGGGUCAGUCUCCCCAACAGGUACAAGAUAUCAUCCUGCCACUUGUUUGAGGAACCCAUCCGAAUCCAAUUCCUGAACAGACAGGGCCCUGCCAUUCAUUCCCGCCAGGUGACCUGGUGUUUGUUAAAAUGUUCCAGAGAGAAGGACUCCCUCCUGCUUGGAAGAGACCUCACACCGUCAUCACGAUGCCAACGGCUCUGAAGGUGGAUGGCAUUCCUGCUUGGAUUCAUCGCUCCCGCAUCAAAAAGGCCAACAGAGCCCAACUAGAAACAUGGGUCCCCAGGCCUGGGUCAGGCCCGUUAAACCUGCACCUAAGUCGGGUGAAGCCAUUAGAUUAAUUCUUUUUCUUAAUUUUGUAAAACAAUGCAUAGCUUCUGUCAAACUUAUGUAUCUUAAGACUCAAUAUAACCCCCUUGUUAUAACUGAGGAAUCAAUGAUUUGAUUCCCCAAAAACACAAGUGGGGAAUGUAGUGUCCAACCUGGUUUUUACUAACCCUGUUUUUAGACUCUCCCUUUCCUUAAAUCACCUAGCCUUGUUUCCACCUGAAUUGACUCUCCCUUAGCUAAGAGCGCCAGAUGGACUCCAUCUUGGCUCUUUCACUGGCAGCCCCUUCCUCAAGGACUUAACUUGUGCAAGCUGACUCCCAGCACAUCCAAGAAUGCAAUUAACUGAUAAGAUACUGUGGCAAGCUAUAUCCGCAAUUCCCAGGAAUUCGUCCAAUUGAUUACACCAAAAAGCCCCGCAUCUAUCACCUUGUAAUAAUCUUAAAGCCCCUGCACCUGGAACUAUUAACUUUCCUGUAACCAUUUAUCCUUUUAACUUUUUUGCCUACUUUAUUUCUGUAAAAUUGUUUUAACUAGACCCCCCUCCUUUCUAAACCAAAGUAUAAAAGCAAAUCUAGCCCCUUCUUCAGGGCUGAGAGAAUUUUGAGCAUUAGCCGUCUCUUGGCCACCGGCUAAAUAAACGGAUUCUUAAUUUGUCUUAAAGUAUGGCGUUUUCUCUAACUCGCUCAGGUACAACAGUGGUAGUAUUUUCUCCAACGUCUUAUUUUUAGGGCACGUAUGUAGAGUAACUUUUAUGAAAGAAACCAGUGAAGGAGGUUUUGGGAUUUCCUUUAUCAACUAUAAUACUGGUUUUGAUUAUUUAUUUAUUUAUUUUUUUUUUUGAGAAGGAGUUUCACUCUUGUUGCCCAGGCUGGAGUGCAAUGGUGCGAUCUUGGCUCACUGCAACUUCCGCCUCCCAGGUUCAAGCGAUUCUCCUGCCUCAGCCUCGAGAGUAGCUGGGAUUAUAGGCAUGUGCCACCAUACCCAGCUAAUUUUGUAUUUUUAGUAGAGAUGGGGUUUCUUCAUGUUGGUCAAGCUGGUCUGGAACUCCCCGCCUCGGGUGAUCUGCCCGCCUCGGCCUCCGAAAGUGCUGGGAUUACAGGUGUGAUCCACCACACCCAGCCGAUUUAUAUGUAUAUAAAUCACAUUCCUCUAACCAAAAUGUAGUGUUUCCUUCCAUCUUGAAUAUAGGCUGUAGACCCCGUGGGUAUGGGGCAUUGUUAGCAGUGAGACCACAGCAGUUUUUAUGUCAUCUGACAGCAUCUACAAAUAGCCUUCAUGGUUGUCACUGCUUCCCAAGACAAUUCCAGAUAACAGUUCCCAGUGAUGACGUGCUACUUGCUAUUGUUACUUAAUGUGUUAAGGUGGCUGUCAUAGGCACUAUUACUAUGUCAGAAAUUACACCAAAAUUUAGUGGCUCAAACCAUCAUUUUAUUAUGUUUGUGGAUUCUCAUGGUCAGGUCAGGAUUUCAGACAGGGCACAAGGGUAGCCCACUUGUCUCUGUCUAUGAUGUCUGGCCUCAGCACAGGAGACUCAACAGCUGGGGUCUGGAACCAUUUGGAGGCUUGUUUCCUCACAUCUGAUACCUGGCUUGGGAUGUUGGAAGAGGGGGUGAGCUGAGACUGAGUGCCUAUAUGUAGUGUUUCCAUAUGGCCUUGACUUCCUUACAGCCUGGCAGCCUCAGGGUAGUCAGAAUUCUUAGGAGGCACAGGGCUCCAGGGCAGAUGCUGAGUGGUCUUUUAUGAGGUAGCACAGCAAAUCCACCCAGGAUCAGGGAGACAGGACAUCGAUUCUGCCUCCCAAAGGGAGGAGUGGCAAGAAAUGUUCAGCUAUUUUUUAAAACUACCACAGCAAUAUUAAUAUGUCAGAAAAAAUUAAAGCAUCCUGAUAGCUGCAUUUCUAAGUAAUUGGUCUCCUUUGAAAUUCUAUGAAUUGUGUUUUUUUAUAGUUUAUGGCAUUCUGAGGAGGCGUCAAAGACUCUCCCAUAUGUUAGAAGGGUCCUGCACAGAACAGGCUCACCCCCGCCCACGUCCCCCAGUGUUUGAAAUGCAUAGUGUUUGCUCUGGUUUAUUGGUUAGGGCAGGACUUUUUCAUUUGUUUUAGAUCUAACAGCAGUUUAGAAAUUGGCCUGUAACUUUUUUUUGGCCUGAUUUCCUUCUGUUUGUGCUGAUAUUCUCAUCUCAGUAGGAAUCAGGAGCUUCUUUUGCUGUUCUUCUGUUUUGGAUGCAUUGGAAGGUCCAGAUUUUGAACAAAUCUCUCUAGAGAUUGAACAGAGCUGCGCCUGGAUCCCGCCGCAGUGAGGAGACCUGAAGACCAGAGGAAACACAGCAAACGGAGUCUUGCUCUGUUGCCCAGGCUGGAGUGUAGUGUGGCGAUCUUGGCUCACUGCAAGAAUCUGCCUCCCAGAUUCACGCCAUUUUCCCACCUCAGCCGCUGGAGUAGCUGGAAGUACAGACUCCCGCCACCACGCCCGGCUAAUUUUGUUUUUGUAUUUUUAGUAGAGACGGGGUUUCACCUUGUUAGGUAGGAUGGUCUCGACCUCCUGACCUCAUGAUCCAUCCGCCUUGGUCUCUCAAAGUGCUGGGAUUACAGGCAUGAGCCACCGCACCUGGCUGUUUUUUCACUUCUAUUAUGAUUUGUUCUGUGGAAUGUCAGUGACUUAGCGGUGUUUUUCACAUGUUUAUAAAGCUGAAUAGUUCUGUAUGUCAGCUCAGCACCCCUAGUGUCAGUCAUGCUACUCUCCUGCUGUGCAUAGAUGGGGGCCUGUCCACACCCAAAUCUCCUGGGUUCCCGCUGUCCGCACCUGAAGGUACCCACCAGAUGUGUCUGUCACUGCCCUCCAUCCACCUCUCUUGUGGUUCUCAUGUUUCUGCCUCCCUAGAGACCAUUUCUCUCUACAGCAGUAGUUUCCAAUAGAAACACAAUGCCAGACACAUAUGUCAUUUUAGAUUUUCUAGUAGUCACUUUAGAAAAGUGAAAAAGAGGCCGGCUGCAGUGGCUCACACCUGUAAUCCCAGCACUUUGGAAGGCUGAGGUGGGUGGAUCACGAGGUCAGGAGAUCGAGACCAUCCUGGCCAACAUGGUGAAACCCCAUCUCUACUAAAAAUACAAAAAAUUAGCCGGGCGUGGUGGCGGGCACCUGUAGUUCCAGCUACUCGAGAGGCUGAGGCAGGAGAAUGGCGUGAACCCGGUAGGCAGAGCUUGCAGUGAGCCGAGAUAGCGCCACUGCACUCCAGCCUGGGCGACAGAGGGAGACUCCAUCUGAAAAAAAAAAAAAAAAGUUACAAAGAAACAGGUGAAAUUAGUUUUAUUUCACCUAAAAUGUUAGCAUUAUCCAAAAUAUCACUUCAACAUCUUAUCAAAAUAAAAAUUAUUAAUGAGAUAGCUUACAGUCUUUCUUUUUUUUUUGAGACAGGGUCUUGCUUUGUGGUCCAGGCUGGAAUGCAGUGGCACCAGCAUAGCUCACUGCAGUUUCAGACUCCUGGGCUUGAGAUCCUCCUGCCUCAGUCUUCCUAGUGUUCGGACUACAGGCACACACCACCAUGCCACGCUAGUUUUUCUUUUUUUAAAGACAGGGUCUCACUCUGUCAGCUGGGCUGGAGUGCAGUGGCACAAUCUCGGCUCACUGCAGCCUCGAUCUCCGGGGCUGAAAUGAUCCUCCCACCUCAGCCUCCCAAGUAGCUGGGACCAAAAACAUGUGCCACUGCGCCUGAAUAAUUUUUGUAUUUUUUUGUUAAGACAGGGUUUCGGCAUGUUGUCCAGGCUGGUCUUGAACUCCAGAGCUCAAGUGAUCCACCCACCUUGGCUUCCCAAAGUGCUGGGAUUACACGCGUGAGCCACUGCACUUGGCCUGAUUUUUUUUUUAUGAAGAGAUGAGGUCUUGCUAUGUUGCCCAGACCGGUCUCAAACUCCUGGCUCAAGCAGUCCUCCCGUCCUGGCCUUCCAAAGUGCUGGGAUUACAGAUGUGAGCCACCACACUGGCCCAUUCUUUCUUUUAUACUGAGUAUUCAGAAUUUUUUUAAAAUGUGUUUUCCACUUACAGCAUUUCUCAGGUUGGACUAGCCAUCUUUCAAGUGCUCAGCAGCCACAUGUGGCAAGUGCCUGCCUUAUUGGACAGCACAGCUCUGGAGGGUGAUUUUAUGUACAUCCCCACUGCUCUCUCUGCCUCCUUUAUUUCCAUCUACCCCACACCCCUGCAGUGUGUGACUAUCGUGUCCCUCUCUCCUCUCUUCCUGUCUUUUGUAAUCCUUUAAUAUGGAGAAUUAUUUCCAAUUCCUUAACAUCCUGCCUGAUUUUUUUCUGUCUUACAUUCAAGGGUCACGGUUUUCCUCUCACCCUCAUUUCAGCCUUUUCCCAUAACAUGUGAUGUGUCUUUUUGUCUUGGUUGGGUAUUUAUUUGCAAUACAAGAAUGAUUGUUUUCUUUGAUACAUUAGUGACUUACAUAGUUUUCAUGUUUUUUGAGUACCUCUUUCUUGACAGAAUUUCAAAUUAAUUCUAGAGUUAAACUAGAAAUCUUUUUUUUUUUUUUUUUUUUUUGAGACACAGUCUUCCUAUGGCACCUGGUCUGGAGUGCAGUGGUGCAAUCUCAGCUCACUACAACCUCUGCCUUCCACAUUCAAGUGAUUCUCCUGCCUCAGCCUCCCGAGUAGCCAGGAUUACAGAUGUGCACCACCACUCCUGGCUAAUUUUUGUCUUUUUAGUAGAGACAGUUUUUUGCCAUUUUGGCUAGGCUGGUCUCGAACUCCUGACCUCAAGUGAUCUGCCCGCCUCAGCUUCCCAAAGUGCUGGGAUUACAGGGGUGAGCCACUGUGCCCAACCUAGAAAGCUUACUUUAUUUUAUUAUUAUAAUUAAUUUUACAUUUUUGAGAUGGAGUCUUGCUGUUGCCCAGGCUGGAGUGCAGUGGCGCAAUCUCUGCUCACUGCAAGCUCCACCUCCCAGGUUCACGCCAUUCUCCUCCCUCAGCCUCCUGAGUAGCUGUGACUACAGGCACCCGCCACCACACCUGGCUAAUUUUUUGUAUUUUUCAUGGAGACAGGGUUUCACCAUGUUAGCCAGGAUGGUCUCAAUUUCCUGACCUCGUGAUCCACCCGCCGUGGCCUCCCAAAGUGCUGGGAUUACAGGUGUGAGCCACCGUGCCUGGCCUAUAAUUAAUUUUUUUGAGAUGGAGUCUCACUCUGUCUCCCAGGCUGGAGUACAAUGUCACAUCUUGCACCCCUGCAACCUCUGCCUCCUGGGUUCAAGUAGUUCUCUCUGCCUCAGCCUCUCGAGUAGCUGGGAUUACAGGUGCCCACCACCAUGCCCAGCUAAUUUUUGUAUUUUUAGUAGAGACGGGGUUUCACCAUGUUGGCCAGGCUGGUCUCGAACUCCUAACCUCAGGUGAUCCGCCCGCCUCGGCCUCCCAAAGUGUGAGAUUACAGGCAUCAGCCACUGCACCCGGCCAGAAAGCUUAUUUUAAAAGGUGUGUAUAGAGCCCCUUAUGUUUCUACUUGAUUUUUUAAAUAACAUAUUUAGGUCUAUAUAUUUUAGGACGUAAUAUCUCACUGUAUGUGUUGCUUUGCAUCAUUGAACAUUUUUGGUAAUUAUUUUCUAUAUAUUUUAGAUAUUUCAUUAAACUAAUACAGAAUUUCAUAUUCAGGGCCAGGCGUAGUGGCUCAUGCCUGUAAUCCCAGCACUUUGAGAGUCCAAGGCGGGCGCAUCACCUGAGGUCAGGGGUUCGAGACCAUCCUGGCCAACAAGGGAAAACCCCAUCUCUAUUAAAAAUACAAAAUUAGCCGGGUGUGGUGUUGCACGCCUGUAAUCCCAGCUACUUGGAAGGCUGAGGCAGGAGAAUCGCAUGACCCCGGGGGCAGAGAUUGCAGUGAGCUGAGAUCUCGCCACUUCACUCCAGCCUGGGCCACAGAGCAAGACUCCUUCUCAAAAAAAAAAAAAAAAAAAUUCAUAUUCGCUCAUAUCAAAAAUGAAAAUUUAUUUUUGCAAAUUUCUAAGUGAUAGAAUUAUUUUAAUGUAGGAAAGGUUCAUCAAAAAUGGGUGUAGUGAUUGUGUUCUUUCCUAUGCUCGAAUGGAAAAUGAUGAGGGGACACGAUGUUAGAGUUGCAGUGGGAAGGGGUGGAAAAGAGGGAUUCCAGAGUGCCAGGCACACAGGUUUUCUGGAAGGUUUACAUUAGGACUGCUGUGAUUUGAAUGUGUUCCCCGAAGUUCAUGUGUUGGAAACUCAACCCCUAAUGCAACAGUGUUGACCAGUGGAACCUUUAAGAGGUGAUUAGGUCAUGAAGGCUCUGCCCUCAUGAAUGGAUGAAGCUAGAGUGGGUUAGUUAUCUUGGGAGGGGGUUCCUGAUAAAAGGAUGAGGUUGGCUUCCUCCCUUUCUCUCUUUCCCCCUCCCCUGCUCACAUGUGGUCACUCUCUUGCCCUUCCACCUUCCACCAUAGGACGGCACAGCGAGACCUUCACCAGAUGCAGGCCCCUCACUUUCCCAGUGUUCAGAACCGUAAACCAAGUGAACUCUUGCUUAUAAAUCACCCAGUCUGUGGUAUUCUGUUAUAGCAACACAAACAGACUAAGGGACACUCAGUGGGCUCUUCUCUCUACCUGAUGGAGCACUCCCUGCGUGGUGCCUUGUAUUUGUAGACAUGAUGCUGUAAAUGCUCUUUGAAUGUCUUGAAGGCUUUUAUGUUUGAGGAGUUUACAGAGAAGCCCCUACAGGCUUCAGGUCCCUUCUUCUGUUGCUUCUUUGCUCUUUAGUACCUCCCCUAACCUGGUGUUAAAUUAGAUCAUAGUGUGGUCCUUGGACCAACAGUAUCAGUAGCACCUGAAAAUCAUGCUGGAAAUACAGAUUCACAGGCUGCUCCCCAGAAUACUGAAGAAGGAACUCUAGGAGUGAGACCCAACAACCUGUAUUUAACAAGUCCCCAGGUGAGUCUGAUGCACACAGAAAUGUGAGCUGCUGUAUUAGAUGGUGUUGAGUUCAUGCCACCGAAUCACUGACACACACGUCUGCUCACUGCUUGCUCUUUGCACAGGCCCCUGGAUCCUCCUGGAAUCCCCGAUCCCUGUUGCUCCCUCGUGGAGUUUUCUAGUCCCUCUUCCUUGAAGCAUGUCUUUCAGAGCCCGGCACCACCCAAGUUGGGUAUCUGGUGAAUUCUGUGGUCUGCAUGUCCAUGUUUGUGACAUUCUGGGAAGGGUGGCCCAGGCUGUGAUUUGCCAUCUACUGCAGGCUAUGGAUGGUACCCCAGAAGGGAGGGGAGAUGCUGUGUGCGUGUUCUGAAGGGUUUCCCACUAAACAGACCAACCCUCUCCAUAACUAUUUGAUUUUUACUUUAUCUCCUCGUUGACUUCACAGUGUCAGUGCAGUUUGUGGAAACAUCUCUACGGGGUGAUGCAUGCAGAUAAAUGUUUAUGUGAACAUAUAAAGUCUGCAUGUGUGGGUGAACACUCCACAUGAGGUCAUUGUCCAUCAUUACAUAUCUGUGGUGUCUGGCUCAUUCCUCUCAUUUUCUGUCAUUUUACCUACUUUUACCUGAAGUACUAUGACUAUUUAAUAACUAUUAAAUAUUUCAUUUCAACUACACCUCUAUGGUAUUUUUUCUCCUUACAUCGGACCUUCCUCCCUUACUGGACUUCAGUGUGGGACCUGCAGGUCUCAGGCCUUCUGGGAAGUGCCAGCUUUUCUUGAAUGUUCUCUCUCUCUGGCCAGCUCAGGCUGGAACAGUGGGUGUUGGUGCCAUCCUGUGGCUAUAGGUGAUAAGCCAGCUGUUCUUCACUGACCCGGUCUUACCUUGAACCCUGGAGUUCUCACAUGCAUGGAUUUAAAUGCUGUGUCUUUCUAAGGGCACAUUAUGGCCAUUUUCCUUAUCUCCCUCCCAAGGGGCUGUUUCCUGUGUUUAUUGACUCCCUGUUUAAAAAAAAAAUAUGUAUAUAUAGACAAAUUGGAUUGCAUCCCAUAAACUGCAUGUUUUAAAAAUACUUCAAAGAAUAGUUUUUCAUUUUUUUCUUGCUGAUUUUUAUGUAUCUUCUAAAUUGUAUAUAUUAAUGGGGUAUAAAAUGAUGUUGUGAUUUUUCAAUACAGUGUGGAAUGAGAAUCAAAUUAACCUAUCCGUUACCUCAAGUACUUGACUUUUUUUGUGAUGAGAAGGCUGUUUAUCACUUUCACUCACCAGCUCCUGCUGUCUUCCAUGCUGGGGACAGGAAAGGCUCCACGCUUGACUUUCCCUCCUGUUUUCUUAUCUGCUGUCAACCCCUGAAUGUACCCUCCAGGACUGCCUUCUAUACCUUCUACAUCUAGCUCGAUCGUUGUGCACCCACCUUCCUCCCAGGGACUGUCCUUAGGGAGUGACUUUAUACACAAACUUCACAUGCUCUUCCUGCCUCCUUCAUCCCCAGAAGCCCCCAUCUCAGCCCCAUCUGAUUAUUUCUUCCCUCUCUCAUUUCCUGUUAUGCUGUUGGUUUUCUAACCUGAAGGGUAACUUCUUACUCCUUAGUUUUUUUGCCUUAAUUUCUAAGUCAUAGGCGACUUUCAGGCUAAAAGUUUUCCUCCAGCCAUGGUUUUAGUCUCAUUCUAUAAGUCUUGCUAGGUAGUUUAUUCAUUGGAAAUUUUUUGUUUUUGAGACAGAGUCUCGCUCUGUCACCCAGGCUGUAGUAUAGUGGUGCCAUCUCAGCUCACUGCAACCUCCGGUUCCCGGGCUCAAGCAGUUCUCUUUCCUCAGCCUCCUGAGUAGCUGGGAUUAUGGGUGCGUGCCACCACACCCAGCUAAUUUUUGUAUUUUUAGUAGAGACGGCAUUUCACCAUGUCAGCCAGGUUGGUCUCGAACUCGUGACCUCAAGUGAUCCGCCCGCCUUGGCCUCCCAAAAUGCUGGGAUUACAGGGGUGAGUCACCGCACCCCACCCCUUGGCACUAUAUUUAAGUGAUGAUAUUUUUGGACACUGAGGUAGCCUCAUUCCACAGGUUUAGAUCUGAAGCAUUUUCACUGUUGCUUCUUUCCAUGUAUUUCCUGGUUUGCAGGUCAGUUUCUUCUUUUAAUUCGUCAUUGACACAGUGGUUUAUAUGGCUUUUAAUUUCAAAAGAUUUUUUAAAAUAUCUUUUUGCCGAUUUUUAUCUAUGUUAAUUUUAACUAGACAUGUUCCCUGGAAGGACAUCACUAGUUUUGUUUUUUUUUUCACUCUGUUUAUAAUUUAGAUGGAUUUUCACAUCUCAAGCCAGCUAAGAGUAUGGGAAAUAGGACUCGUUAAAGCACAGAUAUCACACAAGUGAUUCAGAUUCACGAGGGUAACCCAGAUGAAGGUAUAUCGUUGUACCUGGCCCGCAUCACUCAGUAACUGUCACCUUUGAUUUAUUGAUUUACUUGAGAUGGAGUUUGGUUCUGUCCCCGAGGCUGGAGUGCAAUGGCGUGAUCUCUGCUCACUACAACCUCUGCCUCCCAAGUUCAGAGUGAUUCUCCUGCCUCAGCCUCUUUAGCUGGGAUUACAGGCACCCACCAACAUGCCCAGCUAAUUUUUGUAUUUUUAGUAGAGAGGAGCUUUCACCAUAAUGGCCAGGCUGGUCUUGAACCUCAAAUGAUCUGCCCACCUUGGCCUCCCAAAGUGCUAGGAUUACAGGCUGGAGCUACAGAGCCCAGCCUGUCACCUUGAUUUAAAUGAAUGCAGCUUUCUUGGUGUCUUGAUGUUUGUGAAUUUCUGUGGAGUUUGAUACUGCUCCUUUUGCUGCUUGUUCUGUUUUUCCAGAGUCCCCUUAUCACUUGACGUGCUGUUAUAUUAUGUUUGAUUUAUUACAGAUACCCCAUCAGCCUGAGUCUCUUAAAGGCCUUUAUACACAUAUGUCUACACAUAGGGAUUUGGAUUAUCUCGGGAUCCCACAUCCUCGCUGUCCCCUGUCCCCCCGCAACAUCCCCCACCAAUACCUUUCUGAAGUUUUCUAGUCCCUCCUUUUUGUUUGUGCUCCUUAAAGCCCAGCCCCAUGCCUGACUUUGGUUCCCAGUGAGCAUUGUACAUUUGUGGAUAUUAAAUCUUUGGCAAAGUCA